AUUGAACGCUGGCGGCAUGCUUUACACAUGCAAGUCGAACGGCAGCGCGGGCUUCGGCCUGGCGGCGAGUGGCGAACGGGUGAGUAAUACAUCGGAACGUGCCCAGUAGUGGGGGAUAGCUCGGCGAAAGCCGGAUUAAUACCGCAUACGACCUGAGGGUGAAAGCGGGGGAUCUUCGGACCUCGCGCUAUUGGAGCGGCCGAUGGCAGAUUAGCUAGUCGGUGGGGUAAAGGCCUACCAAGGCGACGAUCUGUAGCUGGUCUGAGAGGACGACCAGCCACACUGGAACUGAGACACGGCCCAGACUCCUACGGGAGGCAGCAGUGGGGAAUUUUGGACAAUGGGCGAAAGCCUGAUCCAGCAAUGCCGCGUGUGUGAUGAAGGCCUUCGGGUUGUAAAGCACUUUUGGCGGGAACGAAAAGGACUGUGCCAAUACCACGGUUCGAUGACGGUACCCGCAGAAUAAGCACCGGCUAACUACGUG
rnacentral:rRNA from 1 species